AACUUUAUAUUCAAGUAUGAUUUUAAAUUGCAAAUUUAAAGGUAGAUUUAUUCUUAAAGUUU
rnacentral:tRNA from 1 species